AUUGAACGCUGGCGGCAUGCUUUACACAUGCAAGUCGAACGGCAGCGGGGAGGAGCUUGCUUCUCUGCCGGCGAGUGGCGCACGGGUGAGUAAUACAUCGGAACGUGUCGAGUAGAGGGGGAUAACCACCCGAAAGGGUUGCUAAUACCGCAUAAAUUCUGAGGAAGAAAGCUGGGGACCUAUGAAUAGGUCUCGCGCUUUUUUAUCGGCCGAUGUCGGAUUAGCUAGUUGGUGGGGUAAAGGCUCACCAAGGCGAAGAUCUGUAGCGGGUCUGAGAGGAUGAUCCGCCACACUGGGACUGAGACACGGCCCAGACUCCUACGGGAGGCAGCAGUGGGGAAUUUUGGACAAUGGGGGCAACCCUGAUCCAGCCAUGCCGCGUGGAUGAAGAAGGCCUUAGGGUUGUAAAGUACUUUUGUUAGGGAAGAAAAGCCAGCGGUGAAUAAUGGCUGAUACUGACGGUACCUAAAGAAUAAGCACCGGCUAACUACGUG
rnacentral:rRNA from 1 species